GACGAACCGUGCGAACGUUAUUCGGAAUUACUGGGCUUAAAGGGUGCGUAGGCGGUUGCGGAAAGUUGGGUGUGAAAUCCCUCGGCUCAACCGAGGAACUGCGCCCAAAACUACCGUACUCGAGGAAGAUAGAGGUGAGCGGAACUUACGGUGGAGCGGUGAAAUGCGUUGAUAUCGUAAGGAACACCCGUGGCGAAGGCGGGUCUCUGGGCCGAUACUGACGCUGAGGAGCGAAAGCGUGGGGAGCGAACAGG
rnacentral:rRNA from 1 species